UACGAGGGGGCAAGCGUUGUUCGGAAUUAUUGGGCGUAAAGGGUGCGUAGGCGGUUUGGUAAGUCUUAUGUGAAAUCUACAGGCUCAACUUGUAGUCUGCAUGAGAAACUGCCGGGCUUGAGUAUGGGAGAGGUGAGUGGAAUUCCUGGUGUAGCGGUGAAAUGCGUAGAUAUCGGGAGGAACACCAGUGGCGAAGGCGGCUCACUGGACCGGUAUUGACGCUGAGGUGCGGAAAGCGUGGGGAGCAAACAGGG
rnacentral:rRNA from 1 species